GACGAACGCUGGCGGCGUGCCUAAUACAUGCAAGUCGAACGCUGAAGAGAGGAGCUUCCUCUUCUUGGAUGAGUUGCGAACGGGUGAGUAACGCGUAGGUAACCUGCCUUGUAGCGGGGGAUAACUAUUGGAAACGAUAGCUAAUACCGCAUAACAAUGGAUGACACAUGUCAUUUAUUUGAAAGGGGCAAUUGCUCCACUACAAGAUGGACCUGCGUUGUAUUAGCUAGUAGGUGAGGUAAUGGCUCACCUAGGCGACGAUACAUAGCCGACCUGAGAGGGUGAUCGGCCACACUGGGACUGAGACACGGUCCAGACUCCUACGGGAGGCAGCAGUAGGGAAUCUUCGGCAAUGGGGGCAACCCUGACCGAGCAACGCCGCGUGAGUGAAGAAGGUUUUCGGAUCGUAAAGCUCUGUUGUAAGUCAAGAACGGGUGUGAGAGUGGAAAGUUCACACUGUGACGGUAGCUUACCAGAAAGGGACGGCUAACUACGUG
rnacentral:rRNA from 1 species